ensembl:lncRNA
GACAAGUGUUGUUGAGAGACUGAGUGAAAUAAAGUCAAAGGGCUCUGCGUUUGACAGAUGGAAGCCAUUGGUAAUAUUGCAUUCUUGGCCCAAAAAGACACCAGUAGCGUCGUCCCCACAGCAGUCAGCCAACAUCCCCCAGAUGAGAACCACUGAACCAGAUAAUAUUCAUGUUCAUUCCAGGAUAUUGAAUAUAGUUCCCUGCAGAACUGGGUUUUGAAUCGGCAUCUGACUCUCCUCAAUGGUCCUGACUCUCCUCUGUGGCCCUAGAAGAUUCGAUAACCAGGUGUAAGAAGUUAAAGUUGGUCACCCCCAAAGGUCAAUGACUCUGCUGCGCCUCUGUGCCUCUGAGACUCAAAGUCAUACUUUCAAAUUCAACAGCCUCCUGGGGGAACACAGAGUAAGAGUAAUUUUUUUUUUUUUCUGUAGGGUUACAAAUAAG